rnacentral:rRNA from 1 species
AACGAACGCUGGCGGCAUGCCUAACACAUGCAAGUCGAACGAGACCUUCGGGUGUAGUGGCGCACGGGUGCGUAACGCGUGGGAACCUGCCCUUAGGUUCGGAAUAACUCCCCGAAAGGGGUGCUAAUACCGGAUAAUGUCUUCGGACCAAAGAUUUAUCGCCUUUGGAUGGGCCCGCGUUGGAUGAGCUUGUUGGUAGGGUAAAAGCCUACCAAGGCGACGAUCCAUAGCGGGUCUGAGAGGAUGAGCAGCCACACUGGGACUGAGACACGGCCCAGACUCCUACGGGAGGCAGCAGUGGGGAAUCUUGGACAAUGGGCGAAAGCCUGAUCCAGCAAUGCCGCGUGAGUGAUGAAGGCCUUAGGGUUGUAAAGCUCUUUUACCCGGGAUGAUAAUGACAGUACCGGGAGAAUAAGCUCCGGCUAACUCCGUG